UACAGAGGUCUCAAGCGUUGUUCGGAUUCAUUGGGCGUAAAGGGUGCGUAGGUGGCGGGGUAAGUCAGGUGUGAAAUUUCGGAGCUUAACUCCGAAAACUGCAUUUGAUACUGCCUUGCUUGAGGACUGGAGAGGAGACUGGAAUUCACGGUGUAGCAGUGAAAAUGCGUAGAUAUCGUGAGGAAGACCAGUGGCGAAGGCGGGUCUCUGGACAGUUCCUGACACUGAGGCACGAAGGCUAGGGGAGCAAAACGGG
rnacentral:rRNA from 1 species